rnacentral:rRNA from 1 species
UACGGAGGGAACUAGCGUUGUUCGGAAUUACUGGGCGUAAAGCGCGCGUAGGCGGACCAAUCAGUCAGAGGUGAAAUCCCGGGGCUUAACCUCGGAACUGCCUUUGAUACUGUUGGUCUAGAGUUCGAGAGAGGUAAGUGGAAUUCCCAGUGUAGAGGUGAAAUUCGUAGAUAUUGGGAAGAACACCAGUGGCGAAGGCGGCUUACUGGCUCGAUACUGACGCUGAGGUGCGAAAGCGUGGGGAGCAAAC